AAUGUGAUUGGUCCUUCCGUGGGGAUGCCAAACUCUUCUUCGGAUAUCUUCAAGAGCUCUUGGAUAACAGAGUUGCUCAGAUAACUUAUUGGAAAAGCAAAGCGGAUUCUAUCGGAUGUGUAAACCACAAAACAGCCCUUCUCUGCAGCGGUUGAGCUGCUAGUAGUAUCAGUUGAUCUAUGAAAAGAGAUUCUUUUCCUUCUUAAGGCAGCUCUCUGUUGCCAUUUCUUGGCCAUCUUCAAGAGCUUCUUUGUGUUCAUCAUUAUAUUUAGGGAAAAGCUGUUUAAGAUUGGAAAGAGGAAGAGAUGUGCAAAUUGUGUUGUAUAACGUAACUCUUUGAAU